GUGUGUGUAGGUAAGUAAAGAAAUAAAACAACAGUAAAAAGACAUUUGAAAAUAACAGUAGUAAGGCUAUAUACAGACACCGGUUAGUCAGGCUUAUUGAGGUAGUAUGUACAUGUAGGUAUGGUUAAAGUGACUAGGCAUAUAUGAUGAACAGAGAGUAGCAGUAGCGUAAAAAGAGGGGUUGGCGGGUGGUGGGACACAAUGCAGAUAGCCCGGUUAGCCAAUGUGCGGGAGCACUGGUUGGUCGGGCCAAUUGAGGUAGUAUGUACAUGAAUGUAUAGUUAAAGUGUCUAUGCAUAUAUGAGAAACAGAGAGUAGCAACAGUGUAAAAGAGGGGUGGGGGGGGCACACAAUCCAAAUAGUCUGGGUAACCAUUUGGUUACCUGUUCAAGAGUCUUUUGGCUUGGGGGUAAAAACUGUUGAGAAACCUUUUUGUCCUAGACUUGGCACUCCGGUACCAUUGCCCAGUCUAUGACUGGGGUGGCUGGGGUCUUUGACAAUUUUUAGGGUCUUCCUCUGUCACCACCUGGUGUUGAGGUCCUGGAUGGCAGGCAGCUUUGCCCCAGUGCUGUACUGGGCCAUAUGCACUACCCUCUGAAGUGCCUUGCGGUCGGAGGCCGAGCAAUUGCCAUACCAGGCAGUGAUGCAACCGGUCAGGAUACUCUCUAUGUUGCAGCUGUAGAACCUUUUGAGGAUCUCAGGACCCAUGCCAAGUCUUUUUAGUUUCCUGUUGAGGGAUAGGUUGUUAUUCUGGCACCACCCGGCCAGGUCUCUGACCUCCUCCCUAUAGGCUGUCUCGUCUUUGUCGGUGAUCAGGCCUACCAACUUGGAGAGGAUGAGUAAAAUGCAGAGGACUUUAGAGGGCCUGACUAAAGGUAACAAGUUCAAUGACACAUGGAAGUAUUGUAUCAUUAUUCAGACUUAGUUUGACUGAGGUCACUACAGUUCAAAAAGGUUGUAUUUCAAUGUCUCAACCAACGCCAUGUGAUUCAUCUGAAUGAAAGUUUCAAACAGCAUUUGAAAGAUGAAUAGCUGUGAAGUGGAUAUAAAUUACAAUGAUUUUGCUCUCUCAAUGUUAAUGUUACAACAAUGCUCAUGCUAUUGUGAAAAUGAGAGGCUUGUAGGAAAUGUGUCCAACUUCCAUUGAAGACUAUUCUGUUUUGUCUUGAAACUGAGGUCUGGAGCAAAGGGGCCCCCACACCUGCCAGGGAAAUUCCCAAGCCCCACCCAUCGAGCCACUACCUAGGACAGCAUCUCACUUGUCACUGCUAAGUUAACUUGAGUCGGUUUCCUCAUUGUGUGAAUGGUUAAAUGUACUUUUACCAUGUUGAUAAAUGUCAUAAAUACAUAUAUUUAUUUUUUACAGGUACAUAUUUGUAUGUUGACAUUUGCCUGUGAAAAAAUGUGAAUAACGAGGUGCAGGCAAUGAACCAGCUGAGUCAUCCCAACAUCCUCCAGCUCUAUGAGGUCUUUGAGGCCAAACACCAGCUGGUGUUAAUUCUGGAAUAUGUUGAGGGUGGAGAGCUGUUUGAAAGGAUCGUGGAUGAGAGUGCACCGCCGACCGAGGUGGAUGCCAUGGUGUUUGCCAAGCGGAUCUGCGAAAAGGUCAGCUACAUGCAUCAGUUGUACGUCCUCCACCUCGGCCUGAAAGUGAGUAUGGUGGUCUCGAUAUGCAUCGUCUCAAACCAGAUUUUAAGGCCCACCACCAACUGUCACAAAUGACAAGACACAUUUUAAUCACCACUUGAAUGAAGCACUGCGUGGUCACUCACCAUGAAUCAAAGAGGCACUCAUGCAUGUGUCGGUGUCAUGAAAAGUAAUCAAUGGUUCUUUUAUCCACUACAAUGUUUACAACCGGAGAAUAUCCUUUGUGUGAAUCACACUGGCCAUCAGGUGAAGAUUAUCGACUUUGGGCUGGUCAGAAGAGGACGAAUAAGUGCUGCACAGUGUCUAAGACGCCCGUGGCUCAACAACAUUGCAGAGAAGGCCAAGGGCAGCAAUAUAGUACUGAAGUCCCAGGUCCUACUGAAGAAAUACCUGGCGAAGAGACUAUGGAAGAUCAUCAGUUCAACAGAUUUCCUACACCACACGUUACUCUGGUUCAUUUUGUGGUUAGGAGAUAUAUUGUUUACAUUACAGUAGUUUUAUCGUCUUUGCACUGCAAUCAACUUCAUGUAAAUUGAUUCUGGUCUACCAGUUGAUGAGAUGCAACGAAGAUUCCUGCCUUGCCUUGUAUGUUGUAAAUGUGCUUCUGACCUCUUCCGUUGGACUGCAUUCCUAUAAAGACUUCCCUCACAAUCAGUCAGAAGAUCCUCAUCUUGGUCUGUCUGUGUAAAAUAAACUGGUGUGUGAUUAAAUAGUGGCUACG